CUGGCGGCGUGCCUAACACAUGCAAGUCGAACGAGAAAGUGGAGCAAUCCAUGAGUACAGUGGCGUACGGGUGAGUAACACGUGACUAACCUACCCUCGAGUGGGGAAUAACUUCGGGAAACCGAGGCUAAUACCGCAUAACAUCUACGGAUCAAAUGCGCAAGCAGCUUGAGGAGGGGGUCGCGGCUGAUUAGCUAGUUGGCGGGGUAACGGCCCACCAAGGCAAUGAUCAGUAGCCGGCCUGAGAGGGCGCACGGCCACACUGGAACUGAAACACGGUCCAGACUCCUACGGGAGGCAGCAGUGGGGAAUUUUGCGCAAUGGGGGAAACCCUGACGCAGCAACGCCGCGUGGAGGAUGAAGCCCCUUGGGGUGUAAACUCCUUUCGAUCGGGACGAUUAUGACGGUACCGGAUGAAGAAGCACCGGCUAACUCUGUGCCAGCAGCCGCGGUAAUACAGAGGGUGCAAGCGUUGUUCGGAAUUAUUGGGCGUAAAGGGUGCGUANGCGGUGCGGUAAGUCUUCUGUGAAACCUCCGGGCUUAACUC
rnacentral:rRNA from 1 species